CGGGGAAUAUUCCGCAAUGGACGAAAGUCUGACGGAGCAACGCCGCGUGAGUGAUGAAGGUUUUCGGACUGUAAAGCUCUGUUGUUUAGGACGAAAGUGCCUGUUGCGAACAGCUACAGGUAUUGACGGUACUGAACGAGGAAGCCACGGCUAACUACGUGCCAGCAGCCGCGGUAAUACGUAGGUGGCAAGCGUUGUCCGGAAUUAUUGGGCGUAAAGAGCAUGUAGGCGGGAAUCUAAGUCUGUUGUGAAAAUGCGGGGCUCAACCCCGUAUGGCGAUGGAAACUGGAUUUCUUGAGUGCAGGAGAGGAAAGGGGAAUUCCCAGUGUAGCGGUGAAAUGCGUAGAUAUUGGGAGGAACACCAGUGGCGAAGGCGCCUUUCUGGACUGUGUCUGACGCUGAGAGGCGAAAGCCAGGGUAGCGAACGG
rnacentral:rRNA from 1 species